CUUCCGUAGGUGAACCUGCGGAAGGAUCAUUACCGAGUGCGGGCCCGCUCCGGGCCCAACCUCCCACCCGUGUCUCGUGCGUACUGUGUUGCUUUGGCGGGCCCACCAGGUCAGUCUGGUCGCCGGGGGGCGCUAUGCUCCCGGGCCCGUGUCCGCCAGAGCACCCCUGUGAACCCUGAUGAAGAGAGGCUGUCUGAGUCCCACGAUAAUCGUUAAAACUUUCAACAAUGGAUCUCUUGGUUCCGGCAUCGAUGAAGAACGCAGCGAAAUGCGAUAAGUAAUGUGAAUUGCAGAAUUCCGUGAAUCAUCGAAUCUUUGAACGCACAUUGCGCCCCCUGGCAUUCCGGGGGGCAUGCCUGUCCGAGCGUCAUUUCUGCCCUCAAGCGCGGCUUGUGUGUUGGGCGUGGUCCUCGUGCCUUUGGCGGGGACCUGCCCGAAAGGCAGCGGCGACGUCCCGCCCAGUCCUCGAGCGUAUGGGGCUCUGUCACGCGCUCGGGAGGGACUGGUGGGCGUUGGUCACCCCUUAAUUUUUUCCACGGUUGACCUCGGAUCAGGUAGGAGUUACCCGCUGAACUUAAGCAUAUCAAAA
rnacentral:rRNA from 1 species